ACGUGAGGAAGCACAUCGACGGCUACCGGGAGACUGUGUUCGUAAAACUUCGCGACUUUUUAAAUAUCGAUAUAUAGACUUUCGUUUGUCUUGUGAUUCUGAUUUUAGUUUUUAACUUGAUUCGGUUAUGAAAUCGUUCCCUUGGCUCGGGGUACUGACAUGGGUCAGCCUCGCUUCAGCUAAUAACAUAAUCGGUAGUAGAGAAGCGUGCUCAAAUGAAGGCGAACUCGUCAACGUCGAAUCGAUUAAGGAUAUAAGAUGUUUCACGUGUAUGUGUAAGAAUGGAUUUGUGGAGUGCCAGAAAGAACAGUGCCCUAGCCAGGAGGGGUGUCACAUGCUCCUCGAGAUCCCGAAGAACGGAUGUUGCGGCAAGUGCAAAGGGUGCAUCUACAAAGGAGUGGAGUACGACAGCGGAGUCGAAUGGAGGGAUCCGGACAACCCUUGCAAGGUCUUCACCUGCCGUGGAGGUGUAGUAACUGACACGAUAGAACAGUGCUUCACCCCUUGCAACGACCCUUUUCCUCCUCUACCUGGGCAGUGCUGUCCGACAUGCAGUGGUUGCCGUGUGAACGGGCAGACCGUCGUACCAGGGAGGACGGUGAGAAGCAUGGAAGACCCCUGUCUCAAGUGCCACUGCUCCAACGGAAAGGUGUCCUGCGCCAAGAAAGCUUGCCCGGUCGUCCACUGCUCCCCCAGCUCCGUCCUGCCACCUGGACCAGGAGAAUGUUGUCCUUCCUGCCAAGGCUCUAGGAAGCUUAUGUUGCCACCCCAAGGAAAAUGCAUACUCGGAACUGGACUUCACGAAGCCGGACGGAGUUUCAUGCCUGACCACUGCACCAUUUGCGAAUGUGUAAAUGGUACGAGUGUUUGCUCUAGGCCUUCUUGUCCAGUGCUCGAUUGUCCAUUGGAGAAGCAAGAGCUGAAGCCGAACUCUUGUUGCCCUCACUGCUCGCCCAAAUCCGAGCUCUCGAAUACUUGCAAAGUUGGCGAUUUGACUUAUGAAGAUGGAGAAACAUGGCAGGUAGAUCUUUGCAAGUCGUGCGUAUGCAAAGAAGGUAGUGUCAGAUGUGCCGCAGAAAUGUGCCCUCAGCAAAACAAGGCUUGCCCUCCAAACCAAAACCUCGUUCACCUGGAAGGCCAAUGCUGUCCAAAAUGUGUUGAAAGUGAUGGAGUAUGCACUGUUUUUGGUGAUCCUCAUUAUAAAACUUUCGAUGGAAAAUUCUAUAGUUUUCAAGGAUCGUGCAAAUACCUUUUAGCAGCUGAUCGGGUUAACAAUACUUUCUCAAUCCGUGUCACUAAUGAUGCAAGGAAUACAAAAACCUCUUCAUGGACCAAGACUGUUUCCAUAAAAGUUGAUGGGAUUAAAAUAAAUUUAGGAGAAAAAAGAAGAGUGAAGAUCAAUGGGAAAAGAGUUUUUAUUUCAAAGUAUGGAACGACUAGAAAUGGCAUUCACCUUUCUGAGGCUGACGACAGUGUUCUAGUAGAAACACAACAAACGGGACUGAAAGUACUCUGGGACGGCAAUUCUUUCCUCGAGGUGUCAGUGCCUGCAAAGUAUAAAGGAAAACUCGAAGGACUAUGCGGUAACUUCAACAGCAAGCCCGGUGACGAUAUGACAUCGAGAUGGGGAGAACCGAUCGUCGACCCUGAUAAAUUCGGCAACUCUUGGAGAGUCGGAGGACGAAGGGCCUGUUCACGAGGAACCACACUAGUACCAAAGCAGCAAGGCUGUUUUUCCAAAACGGGCUACCAAAGGCGACAGAAGGAAAGGCUUUGUAAAAUUUUAAGGAGUCGGGUCUUUGCCCCUUGCCAUAAAUACCUCAACUAUGUUAUGUACUACAAAUCCUGUUUAGUAGAUAUGUGCGAGUGCCCUAGCAACAUGUGCUACUGUGAAUCUUUUACCGCUUAUGCACAUGAAUGUGCGAGGCUGGGAGCAACCCUCCAUGAUUGGAAGAAAGAGACUAGUUGUCAAGCAAGGCACUGACAAACGGUCACCAGGUCUAAACCAACCAAAAAACCCAUUCGCCCCAUUGGGGAAGGAAACCUAGUCAGCCCAAUCACUAGUACCAAUAUGUACCAGCGCUCGAGUUCAAAUAGUGAUGGGCCAUUUUAUUUGCUUCUAUUUUAUUCUCUUUUAAAUUAUGAAGGCUACAUCAGUGUAGGCCUGGCUUGGAGCAGUUAAUCAAAGAGAAACUAAGCUCCCAGAAAGUGCUUCACAGCAAAAAAAUAUAUUUAAAAAAAAAUAGUGUCCGUUUGUAAAUAUAAAGAUGCUUUUGCGGUUGCUGUAUUUUAAGUGGACACAUACAAUUUUUAUAAAAGUGUAAACUCUAUUUUUAUAAUCAUGAUAUAGGUACACACGAAUUAUGUUAGUGUUAAAUGAAAAUCUGAAAUAAUAUAAAACAAAAUU
rnacentral:misc_RNA from 1 species